CUUUUAUUAAUCAUGGCAAGAAAUGCUAAGGCAGCCCAUGGGAGAACCCUUCUUUUACUUAUUGGCUUUUCGUGCAAGCUGUAUUGGCAAAGUCAUUUCACAUGUUUAAUAGAUGACUCCAGCUUGUAAAAUGUAUUGGUCAAGACAGUCUCUAUCACUGUGCUUCCAUAGCCCUACUCUUCUCUACCACCCUGCCUUCUGCCCUGGACUCCAGAAGGACAGAGAUGCUCUGGAGGAGAAGUGCAGACAGUGCACCCAUGUAGAUGUGCCCAGUGGCAACUGGGAGAAUCACACUGCAAUGAACUGGGAGCAGGGUGCCAGAACUAACAGCUGACAAGGAUCAAAGUGCUUUAUCUACUUUAAGGAGCAGCCUCUUCAGUGACCUCUGGUAAUAUGAUUCUGCUGGUGGAUGCCUGUGAAUCUGCUGAGGAAGCAAGUUAGAGCUGCAGAAAUGGCAAGCCAUCCC
rnacentral:lncRNA from 1 species